rnacentral:lncRNA from 1 species
CUCCCACUAUCAUUUUCCAUGUUCAAUGGACCGUGAAAUUGGAUAAAAAUAUAAUUAGGCAUUAAAAUUAGAAAGAUAAUAUCAUAGGGAACAUUUGUACUAAGUUUCAAGUUGAUUGGACUUCAACUUCAUUAAAAACUACCUUGACCAAAAACUUUAACCUGAAACAUGCACUUUCAUUUUCUAUGUUCAGUGGACCGUGAAAUUGGGGUCAAAAGUUUAAUUUGGCUUUAAAAUUAGAAAGAUCAUAUCAUAAGGAACAUGUGUACUAAGUUUCAAGUUGAUUGGACUUCAACUUCAUCAAAAACUACCUUGACCAAAAACUUUAACCUGAAGCGGGACAGACGGACGAACGAACAGACGGACGGACGAACGAACGAACGGACGCACAGACCAGAAAACAUAAUGCCCCUCUACUAUCGUAGGUGGGGCAUAAAAACAAA